rnacentral:rRNA from 1 species
GACGGGUGAGUAACGCGUGGUAACCUGCCUUAUACAGGGGAUAACAGUUAGAAAUGACUGCUAAUACCGCNUAAGCGCACAGGAUUGCAUGAUCUGGUGUGAAAAACUCCGGUGGUAUAAGAUGGACCCGCGUCUGAUUAGCUGGUUGGUGAGGUAACGGCCCACCAAGGCGACGAUCAGUAGCCGACCUGAGAGGGUGACCGGCCACAUUGGGACUGAGACACGGCCCAAACUCCUACGGGAGGCAGCAUG